AAAUUGAAGAGUUUGAUCAUGGCUCAGAUUGAACGCUGGCGGCAGGCCUAACACAUGCAAGUCGAACGGUAACAGGAAGCAGCU
rnacentral:rRNA from 21 species